rnacentral:tRNA from 1 species
GGAGGGAUGGCUGAGUGGACGAAAGCACUGGUCUUGAAAACCAGCGACCCGCAAGGGUCCGUGGGUUCGAAUCCCACUCCCUCCGCCA